CAGUCGCCGCGGGAAUACGAAGGGUGCAAGCGUUACUCGGAAUUACUGGGCGUAAAGCGUGCGUAGGUGGUGGUUUAAGUCCGUUGUGAAAGCCCUGGGCUCAACCUGGGAAUUGCAGUGGAUACUGGGUCACUAGAGUGUGGUAGAGGAUAGUGGAAUUUCCGGUGUAGCAGUGAAAUGCGUAGAGAUCGGAAGGAACAUCUGUGGCGAAGGCGACUAUCUGGGCCAACACUGACACUGAGGCACGAAAGCGUGGGGAGCAAACAGGAUUAGAUACCCCAGUAGUCUGUCUCUUAUACAA
rnacentral:rRNA from 1 species